CACUGUGCACCACCUUUCCCUUUUGGUAACUAUAAGGGGCUUUGCUAUGUUGUAAAGCUGUUUCUGUUUGUAAAGAAGUUCGUUUGGAUCCUGUUCUAGAAUCCACCUCUGCUUCCCUGAAGUGGCACUGGCUACCCCCAGCACUUGGCAGUUGGGACAAGGAAACGACAAUCUUCUAGAGUCAAAGGACUCAAUUUUGUUUGUAGGCCCAAGAAGCCAACUUUCCUGAAGGCUCAGUUUGCCUGAAGAACCAGAGUUGGACAUGAAACAGUGCUGCCUCCUUUGCGUGUAACUACAACUUAAAACAUCUUGCUUACUGACAACUCCAACUGACAAGUUCUGUGAGGUUGCUUAUGACAACUGCCCUCAGGAAAGGUCCUGGGAUACAAAACAUCUGCAUCUCUAAAGGUAAUCCCGAUGGACAUGAUUUUCAGCAGAUGAUACUUUCCUCGGCCUUCUGGAAUAAGCUCUGUGGAAAAUGAACCCCAAGCAAGAGAUGUGCUGUAAUGUGUAUGUCAUAACUGAAUCAGGCGGCUGCCCAACGACAAGAAGCACAAAACUGGAGAGUAAAGAAAAGUAAAAGAAGAAAAGGGAUGUCCGCUUUGUUACCUCCAACCUCCUUGACUUGGGCUGCUAUCCCACCCCUGGAACCUGAGCAGGCUUGGGUCCCACUGCUGGACUGGAUGGGGGUAGAAACAGACAGCUGGACAGGGUGCCCUUAACUGAGGCCCCACUUAAACCUGUGUGGUCUGGUUUUCUUGGCUGGUUUGCUUGUGAACAAAGUCCCCAGUGCACCCAAAAGAUGGUGGUCCAACCAUCUGACCACCAGGACCUUGGAAAAGUAACCUAGC
ensembl:lncRNA